rnacentral:tRNA from 1 species
GGAUGCGUGCCCGAAAUUUAAGGUUUACUUUGAUAGAGUAAAAUAUAAGAGUUAAAACCUCUUCGCAUCUU